AGAGUUUGAUCCUGGCUCAGGAUGAACGCUAGCGACAGGCUUAACACAUGCAAGUCGAGGGGCAGCGGUGGAGAGAGCUUGCUCUCUUCAGCCGGCGACCGGCGCACGGGUGAGUAACACGUAUGCAACCUGCCCUUGACACUGGGAUAACCCGGAGAAAUCCGGACUAAUACCGGGCGAUACCUCUGGAGGACAUCCUCCGGAGGUCGAAGGAAGCGAUUCCGGUCAAGGAUGGGCAUGCGGCGCAUUAGCUAGUUGGCGGGGUAACGGCCCACCAAGGCGACGAUGCGUAGGGGUUCUGAGAGGAAGGUCCCCCACAUUGGUACUGAGACACGGACCAAACUCCUACGGGAGGCAGCAGUGAGGAAUAUUGGUCAAUGGGCGCGAGCCUGAACCAGCCAAGUCGCGUGAGGGAAGACGGCCCUACGGGUUGUAAACCUCUUUUGUCGGGGAGCAAGGACUGCCACGAGUGGCAGGGCGAGAGUACCCGAAGAAAAAGCAUCGGCUAACUCCGUGCCAGCAGCCGCGGUAAUACGGAGGAUGCGAGCGUUAUCCGGAUUUAUUGGGUUUAAAGGGUGCGCAGGCGGACGCGCAAGUCUGCGGUCAAAUUCCGGGGCUCAACCCCGGACCGCCGUGGAAACUGUGCGACUAGAGUGGGCGAGAGGCAUGCGGAAUGCGCGGUGUAGCGGUGAAAUGCUUAGAGAUCGCGCAGAACUCCGAUUGCGAAGGCAGCAUGCCGGCGCCUUACUGACGCUCAUGCACGAAAGCGUGGGGAUCGAACAGGAUUAGAUACCCUGGUAGUCCACGCAGUAAACGAUGAAUGCUGGCUGUUCGGCCCGAGUGAGGGCUGAGUGGCGUAGCGAAAGCGUUAAGCAUUCCACCUGGGGAGUACGCCGGCAACGGUGAAACUCAAAGGAAUUGACGGGGGC
rnacentral:rRNA from 1 species